GGGAGUAUGCAUGUAAGUGCAGGUACCCACGGAGGCCAGAGGUAUCGGAUCCUCCUGGUGCAGGAUUACAGUGAGCUGCCAUGUGGGUGCUGGAAAUCUACACCGUGUCGUCAACAAAUGCUCUUUGCUGAGCCAUCUCUCCAAUCCCGAGUCAUCCUCUUAAAGAAAAUGAUUGUCCAUUCUGAUUCAAAGAAUGAAUAUGGUAAUUAAUUCUCCAUCUCAGCCUUCCAGUCCUAGACCUGAGGUUCACUGGGGUAUCUCUGCUCCAUGGCAUACAUUCUGAAGUUACACAGCGCCCCUCCCGCCUCCCGUUUGCUGAUCACCCUUCUACUUUUCUUCCCUGCCCUCCUCAGCCACUUGCUUUUUGUAAACUAAAGGCAGAUUUGUGGGUAUGCGCGCGCGCGCGCGCGAGUGUGUGUGUGUGUGUGUGUAGACAGGAGGUUGACCCCAGAAUGUCCUUCCUUGGAAGCUAUACCUUGGCUUUUGAGACAGGGCCUUGCUCACUGGGGCCUGGGUCUGGCCACUGAUACCCAGGAAUCUGCUUAUCUCCGCCCUUAGCCCCGCCCCUUAGCCCUUAGCCCCACCUCUUAGACGCAGCCCUGACAUUCUAGGCGAACUACCAUUCCCCCUUUUCUCCUGGCUCUCCUAAGGGUGGAUUUCAAUACUUCAGAAGGGCUUCAGGGUAACCAUGUUACACAUAAUAAUUGACACGCUGUGCAGCGAAAGGUCCAAAGGACAUUCCCUUCUUUGUGAGCCUAAUGUGGCACUAGCUGAUACCAUGUAAGGAAGAUAUUUCUGACAUCAAGAGCAAAUUGGAAGCCAAGUGUGGUGUCCAAGCUACUCGGGACUUCUCUGCUGGCUUUGGAAGUGCAGCACGACCUGUUUCUGAAGAACAAGCACACAAAGCUGAGGUUGGAGGGAUAAGUGAGCUAUGAAGAGCACUUGCUUCUUCAGAGGACCGGAGGUCAGAUCUCAGCACUGAGCAGCUCACGACCUCCUGUAAUUACACUUUAAUGAAUGCAACGCCAUUGCGCUCUCCAUGGACCAGUGCGUGCGCAUAUCUAUCUAUGUUUUAAAAAGAUUAGAUGGCUCCCUUUCCAUUGACAUUUUGUUUACUUUCAGGUUGAAGCUUGGUUUUCUUGCAUAUAUCUUUGUCUCCAUAGCUUUGAACACCCCCCCCACCCCCUUCUUUCUUCUUAGUAGCACAACAGUGCCCCUUUGCCACUAUUCUUCUGCCCUAUACCUCCUUCCCAGCCUUCUACCCUAAUCUGACUACUCCCUGCUGGGUCUGGGACUCCCUCUUCUUUGAUGGGUCACCAAAGCCCAUGCCUUUUGCUUAAUUUUCUUUCUUUGCUGGACUACAUUCUUUAAUAGUUAUGGCAAGGAUAUGUAGGAGGUGUGAUUUAUUUUAGUUUUAUCUUUAUUGUGUCUCAUACUUAACUGAUAGUUUGGCCCAGUAUAGAAAAUGAGGUUCCACAGUGCUUCUUGACUCUUGCACAUCCAUUGCAACAGACAGGAAGUCGGAUGCCCCGGAGUCCUUGGCCUGUGUAAAAACUGCACAUUCACCUAUCUUUGAAAUCUGUCAAGCAGUCACUCCCUGUUGUUCUGUGCUCACACAUAUAUCUCUAUGGUCCUUCCUUCACCUGCAUUCCUUGGGCAGCCCCAUCUGGGGACUCUCUUCCAUCCUGAGUGGUUCUUCACCUUCUCCCAGAGGAAAUCCUUAGUGGAGAGCGGGCUUACUGAAUUGAUUCUCCUUGUCUCUGCUCAGUAUUAACCUCUGUUACUCCCCACCCCCGCCCCCUUUUCCUGUUUUCCUAAAGCUGAAAUAACCAUUUGCUUUCAGGUCUUAUUCAUCUUCUGAAACCUACACCAUCUGUGUGGUAUGUCAGUCUGUCAGGUCCUUUUCCAUCCUUUUCUCUGUCCCCAGGAAGUGCCAUGGUCCCCUCUGUGUGGUACCUUGCCCCUGUUCAGUUCUUAUUGGGCCACUGAUACAGGUAAGAACUACCUGCCACCCUUCUCUGGAGCAGAGGCUGAGGAGGUUUCCCUGGCUGUGGGAACUUAGGGAUGUAGUUGGUUGUGAGGACUAAUGAGGUGAGAGUCUGUGGGGGAACUUAUGGAGGACUGUAAAGCAGGAUUUAGGGGGCUAUGAAGGGCUGAAUAGAGCUGCAAGGGCGAGUUGGGAGGUGACAGUUCUUGGGCCAUAGGAGACAGAGGGAGCUGUGUAUGUCAGUCUUUGGAGCCUGUGAGGGUAUUUCCCUCUUCAGUCUUACAGAGGCUCUCAGGGACAGUCAGAACCAAAGAAGGGACAGAGAGACCAGGCCAGAAAGCCCUCCCAGAACUUCCCAAGGCUCUCAUAAAUUCCUGGAAUUCUGAACUGCUUGCCCUCUGGUGUUUUCUGUGGAAACUUGGAAGGCUGUGAAUCAUGUCUGGGCUGAUAGUGCCUGCUGGGCUGGGAGCCCCAGACUCAGGAGAAGGAGGGGGUGCUCAGGGCCUGCCACUUCCCAUAACUUCCUACAUCAUGGCUCCUCAGGCCAGCUUUCUCAUAGUUGGACCCCUUCCCCAGGACAGUGGCAGGUUCCCUAGGGCAGUGGUCCCUGGAGAUCCUGAACCUGGCUCAGAGCAUCCCAAGUGCUUUGGGCCCACUCUUGCCCCCCUCUCACUUGGUUCCCAAAGCCCCUCUUGGGAGUAGAGAUGGGACGGUCACAGUGCCCAUCUUCCUGUUUGAUCUGUCUGGAGAACUACGGCCUUGCUCAAGAGCCACUCUAGACUGAAGGAGGAUGUUGUUUGGAUAAUUAUGAUCGCUGGCGGCAUCCUUUGCAAGCUCACAGUUGUUUCUGAGGUUGUUUUAAGUUACUGUGAGGGAGAGGGCUUGGUCAGAGGACAACAGUGCUUCUGGGAGGAUGCAACGCAGAAGUUUUGGAAGAAGGAGUCUUUCCCCCUGGUGAGCCAUCUCUGGAGUCCUGUACUUUGGGUGUUUAAGACCAUCAGAGAGAGGGACCCUUAUCAUUAGGGAGAGGACUGAGGACUGAGGCUUGUUCUCCCCGCCCCUUCUCUCUUCUCUCCCUCUGGCCUGUCUUAGCUGCCCCAGACUCCGUGACUUGGCUAGCCUGUCCCUGAGCUUCACCCUACCAGCCCUUGUAACCAUCCCUCCCCUCAGGGUCCUCUGCUUCCUGACCACACAUCCCUCUGUCCUCCAAGUCUGCAGGUGACCUGUAAUGAGUCUCUUCCUGUGUUCCAGGCUUUCCCGAGGCUACUGUAGCUCUGUCUUCUCUCUCAGGACGGAUUCAUGAGGAUGAUCUGUUCCAGGAUCUCAAAGUGGAGUGAUCCCAGUAGGUGACAUUUCGGAAACUCUGAAGUCUGCCCUUGUUUCAGAAGCAGGGACUCCAGGACCUUGAUAGCCAACUUGUGCUUGGGGGUUGCGCAGCAACUGCUUCCGCCUCUUGGACAGAAGGAGAAACUGGGAAGCAGAGACAGGCACCAGGCGGACUCCAGCUGGUGUGGCCCCCGAGGGUGAUGAUAAGCAGCAUUCCUGCGGAAAUUAUGCUCAAGGUCUGCUCGGAACAGCUCCAGGUAGUAGGUGUGCUCGCAGUUCCUCCCCACAGCCCUACCCAUGAGUAAACAGGCAUCCGUGCGGAGAAAGAAGAGCUAGCCACGGAAGAUCACAUCUUGGCCUCUCGUGCCCAAGGAGAGGAAUUCGGCAGCAGGAAUUCUGCAUAGUGAGCCCUUCCCCCAGAUGCCUCUGCCAGGGGUUGGCCUUGGCGGACAGGGGCUCAACUUGACAGACAGCAAAGGCAGCAAGCAAACAAGGUUGUUCUGAUGGUGGGUUUUCUAAGAAAACGUAAGAAUUGAACACCAGGGGAAAUCUUAAAAAAACAAGAAAAAGAAAAACAAGCGAGACCUCAGAUGUACCUGGAUGGAGAGAGCUAAUUGGUCUGGGAGGUGGGUACCCAAGCCCCUGCCCCACAGCAUGGUGCAGAGUCCGAGUUCAGCUUCUACAGCUGGGAGAGGAGAUGGUGUGACGUCUCCAGACUCAGGGGUUUAUUCUGGACAAACUGCUUUUCAAACCUGUGGCAUGGGAGACAAGAUAAAUUGCGUGGUUUUGCAGCUUCUAGGCUCCAGGGCAUGUGGUAGGGGUCAGCUGCUUUCCUGGAGUUCUGUGCAUGGCAGGUUUCCUGGGACUUUGGUCCUGUUUUAGGGUCUUGGUGUUUUUGGUUUUUUUUUUUUUUUGUUUUUUGCUUUUUGUUUUUUGUUUGUUUGUUUAUUUUGGGGGGGGGGAGGGGGACUUUUUUAUUCCAGAUACUUUGCAAAUAAGCAAUGGGGGGGUGUUAUUUUUCUUUCUGGCUACUUUCUAGUGGCAGGGGACAUGUACUUUGGAGCUUCUUGGGCCUAGAGAGAUUCUAUGAGUUUUAUAGUCCAUUUUGCAAUUGUCCCAGGUGGUCGUAGUGGUAUAGUCCAGCAGGAAUGACUGUAAAAAUUUCAAAACUCAGGAUAAAAAUGUAAGUGUGAGUACAA